rnacentral:rRNA from 1 species
UACGGGGGGGAGCAAGCGUUGUUCGGAUUCAUUGGGCGUAAAGCGCGCGUAGGCGGUUCGGUAAGUCGGGUGUGAAAACACGAGGCUCAACCUCGUGCGUGCAUCCGAUACUGCCGGACUAGAGGUAGGUAGGGGGAGAUCGGAAUUCCUGGUGUAGCGGUGGAAUGCGCAGAUAUCAGGAGGAACACCGAUGGCGAAGGCAGGUCUCUGGGCCAUUACUGACACUGAGAAGCGAAAAGCAUGGGGAGCGAACAGG